AGAUGGGAGCUUGCUCCCUGAUGUUAGCGGCGGACGGGUGAGUAACACGUGGGUAACCUGCCUGUAAGACUGGGAUAACUCCGGGAAACCGGGGCUAAUACCGGAUGCUUGAUUGAACCGCAUGGUUCAAUUAUAAAAGGUGGCUUUUAGCUACCACUUACAGAUGGACCCGCGGCGCAUUAGCUAGUUGGUGAGGUAACGGCUCACCAAGGCAACGAUGCGUAGCCGACCUGAGAGGGUGAUCGGCCACACUGGGACUGAGACACGGCCCAGACUCCUACGGGAGGCAGCAGUAGGGAAUCUUCCGCAAUGGACGAAAGUCUGACGGAGCAACGCCGCGUGAGUGAUGAAGGUUUUCGGAUCGUAAAACUCUGUUGUUAGGGAAGAACAAGUACCGUUCGAAUAGGGCGGUACCUUGACGGUACCUAACCAGAAAGCCACGGCUAACUACGUGCCAGCAGCCGCGGUAAUACGUAGGUGGCAAGCGUUGUCCGGAAUUAUUGGGCGUAAAGCGCGCGCAGGCGGUUUCUUAAGUCUGAUGUGAAAGCCCCCGGCUCAACCGGGGAGGGUCAUUGGAAACUGGGGAACUUGAGUGCAGAAGAGGAGAGUGGAAUUCCACGUGUAGCGGUGAAAUGCGUAGAGAUGUGGAGGAACACCAGUGGCGAAGGCGACUCUCUGGUCUGUAACUGACGCUGAGGCGCGAAAGCGUGGGGAGCGAACAGGAUUAGAUACCCUGGUAGUCCACGCCGUAAACGAUGAGUGCUAAGUGUUAGAGGGUUUCCGCCCUUUAGUGCUGCAGCAAACGCAUUAAG
rnacentral:rRNA from 1 species